rnacentral:rRNA from 1 species
CCUACGGGUGGCAGCAGUAGGGAAUAUUGCUCAAUGGGGGAAACCCUGAAGCAGCAACGCCGCGUGGAGGAUGAAGGUUUUCGGAUUGUAAACUCCUUUUGUUAGAGAAGAUAAUGACGGUAUCUAACGAAUAAGCACCGGCUAACUCCGUGCCAGCAGCCGCGGUAAUACGGAGGGUGCAAGCGUUACUCGGAAUCACUGGGCGUAAAGAGCGCGUAGGCGGGAGAGCAAGUCAGAUGUGAAAUCCUAGGGCUUAACCAUAGAACUGCGUUUGAAAAUGUUAUUCUAGAGUAUGGGAGAGGUAGGUGGAAUUCUUGGUGUAGGGGUAAAAUCCGUAGAGAUCAAGAGGAAUACUCAUUGCGAAGGCGACCUGCUAGAACAUAACUGACGCUGAUGCGCGAAAGCGUGGGGAGCAAACAGGAUUAGAUACCCGUGUAGUC